rnacentral:sRNA from 1 species
GAUUAAACCUGAUUGGAACGAACACGAAUCCCGGUUUUUUCAAUCGGGAGCGUAAAGUAUAAAGCAAUGCUUUCG